CCCUUAGAUGUUCUGGGCUGCACGCGCGCUACACUGAUGCGUUCAACGAGUUUAUGACCUUGCCCGAUAGGGUUGGGUAAUCUUUUUAAAUCGCGUCGUGAUGGGGAUAGAUUAUUGCAAUUAUUAAUCUUCAACGAGGAAUGCCUAGUAAGCGCAAGUCAUCAGCUUGCGUUGAUUACGUCCCUGCCCUUUGUACACACCGCCCGUCGCUCCUACCGAUUGAAUGGUCCGGUGAAGCGUUCGGACCGUGGCCUUUGGACGGUUCGCCGUCUGUUGGCUGCGGGAAGUUCGUUAAACCUUAUCAUUUAGAGGAAGGAGAAGUCGUAACA
rnacentral:rRNA from 1 species